rnacentral:rRNA from 1 species
ACUCCUACGGGAGGCAGCAGUGGGGAAUAUUGCACAAUGGGCGCAAGGCCUGAUGCAGCCAUGCCGCGUGUAUGAAGAAGGCCCUCGGGUUGUAAAGUACUUUCAGUGGUGAGGAAGGUUCGUGGUUAAUACCCACGUAAUUUGACGUUAGCCACAGAAGAAGCACCGGCUAACUCCGUGCCAGCAGCCGCGGUAAUACGGAGGGUGCAAGCGUUAAUCGGAAUUACUGGGCG